GACGAACGCUGGCGGCGUGCUUAACACAUGCAAGUCGAACGGAAAGGCCCCUUUGGGGGUACUCGAGUGGCGAACGGGUGAGUAACACGUGGGUAACCUGCCCUCGACUUCGGGAUAACUUCAGGAAACUGGGGCUAAUACCGGAUAGGAAUCCUUGCUGCAUGGUGGGGGUUGGAAAGCUUCGGCGGGCUUGGAUGGACUCGCGGCUUAUCAGCUUGUUGGUGGGGUAGUGGCUUACCAAGGCUUUGACGGGUAGCCGGCCUGAGAGGGCGACCGGCCACAUUGGGACUGAGAUACGGCCCAGACUCCUACGGGAGGCAGCAGUGGGGAAUAUUGCACAAUGGGCGGAAGCCUGAUGCAGCAACGCCGCGUGCGGGAUGACGGCCUUCGGGUUGUAAACCGCUUUCAGCAGGGGCGAAGCUUGUGGUGACGGUACCUGCAGAAGAAGCACCGGCUAACUACGUG
rnacentral:rRNA from 1 species